CCUACGGGAGGCAGCAGUGAGGAAUAUUGGUCAAUGGACGAGAGUCUGAACCAGCCACGUAGCGUGAAGGAUGACUGCCCUCUGGGUUGUAAACUUCUUUUAUAUGGGAAUAAAAUGUUCCACGUGUGGGAUUUUGUCUGUACCAUAUGAAUUAGGAUCGGCUAACUCCGUGCCAGCAGCCGCGGUAAUACGGAGGAUCCGAGCGUUAUCCGGAUUUAUUGGGUUUAAAGGGAGCGUAGGUGGAGUGUUAAGUCAGUUGUGAAAGUUUGCGGCUCAACCGUAAAAUUGCAGUUGAAACUGGCAGUCUUGAGUACAGUAGAGGUGGGCGGAAUUCGUGGUGUAGCGGUGAAAUGCUUAGAUAUCACGAAGAACUCCGAUGGCGAAGGCAGUUCACUGGACUGCAACUGACACUGAGGCUCGAAAGUGUGGGUAUCAAACAGGAUUAGAUACCCGGGUAGUC
rnacentral:rRNA from 1 species